CUAAUAUUAAAGAGGAGACUAUUCCAGAGCCUGGGGGCAGCCGCUGCAAAAAGCUCUGUCACCUCUUGUCUUUAAUCAGGUUUUAGGCACCUCCAGCAACAGUUGGUCAGAAGACCUUAAGGCUCUCUUGGGGAU